UCCAAUGUAAGCUCAAUCUUGAAACAAUGACUAAAAGGGAAGAAUAAUCUCCAACUCCAUAUCAUCAAAAAAAGUUCCCCUAAAAUAAGAUACAAGUUGAAAGAUUAAAAAAUACACAUCUCCACUCACUAGACAGAUAAAACUACAGCACUAUAAUUAUUGAAUGUUACUGUUAUCUUAUCUAAUCUCCUCUUUUAGAUAUUUUCUUUUGGGAUAAAUCAUCACAGCUCCACUCAUAAACGCACACUUACAAAACAUGGGAACCCUCCACUAAUUAGAUCAAACAACAGCACAAGAUAACAU
rnacentral:lncRNA from 1 species